rnacentral:rRNA from 1 species
GACAGAGGGUGCAAACGUUGUUCGGAUUUACUGGGCGUAAAGCGCGUGUAGGCGGCUUUGCAAGUCGGAUGUGAAAUCCCACGGCUCAACCGUGGAAGUGCAUCCGAAACUGCAUCGCUGGAGUCUCGGAGAGGAAGGUGGAAUGCUUGGUGUAGAGGUGAAAUUCGUAGAUAUCAAGCAGAACACCUGCGGCGAAGGCGGCCUUCUGGACGAUGACUGACGCUGAGACGCGGAAGCGUGGGGAGCAAACAGG